GGCGAACGCUGGCGGCGUGCCUAAUACAUGCAAGUAGAACGCUGAAGGAGGAGCUUGCUUCUCUGGAUGAGUUGCGAACGGGUGAGUAACGCGUAGGUAACCUGCCUGGUAGCGGGGGAUAACUAUUGGAAACGAUAGCUAAUACCGCAUAAUAGUAGAUGUUGCAUGACAUUUGCUUAAAAGGUGCAAUUGCAUCACUACCAGAUGGACCUGCGUUGUAUUAGCUAGUUGGUGGGGUAACGGCUCACCAAGGCGACGAUACAUAGCCGACCUGAGAGGGAGAUCGGCCACACUGGGACUGAGACACGGCCCAGACUCCUACGGGAGGCAGCAGUAGGGAAUCUUCGGCAAUGGACGGAAGUCUGACCGAGCAACGCCGCGUGAGUGAAGAAGGUUUUCGGAUCGUAAAGCUCUGUUGUAAGAGAAGAACGAGUGUGAGAGUGGAAAGUUCACACUGUGACGGUAUCUUACCAGAAAGGGACGGCUAACUACGUG
rnacentral:rRNA from 1 species